rnacentral:rRNA from 1 species
UGUUGCAUUAUUCAAAAAGCGGAGGAAAAGAAACCAACAGGGAUUCCCUUAGUAACGGCGAGUGAACCGGGAAAAGCUCAAAUUUGAAAUCUGCCAACAGGCCGAGUUGUAAUUUGUAGAUGGCUACACUGCAUAAUAGUAGAUGCUCAAGUUCUUUGGAAAAAGACAUCAUGGAGGGUGACAAUCCCGUGAGGCAUGUUACUAGGAGCAUAUAGUGGGCUUUCUAAGAGUCGAGUUGUUUGGGAAUGCAGCUCAAAGUGCGUGGUGAAUACCAUGUAAAGCUAAAUAUGGACGAGAGACCGAUAGCGAACAAGUACUGUGAAGGAAAGAUGAAAAGCACUCCGAAAGGAGAGUGAAAUAGUACGUGAAAUUGUUAAAGUGGAAGGGCUUGAGAUCAGAAUUGGUAGUUUGGGUUCCACGUCCUCUUGGGGGCGUGUACUCCCUUUCCACCGGGCCAGCGGGAGUUUCGUCUCUUGGGUAAAAGCAGUGGAAUGUAGCAGCUUGUCUGUAUUAUAGCCUCUGUUCAUACAAGACGUCGAGACUGUUUUGUGGCC